rnacentral:lncRNA from 1 species
UCUCAGUUCUCUGAUGGGUUUGAGAAAAACUGAUUGCGUAGCAGGUUAAGAUGGGGUAAUAUUUAUAGCUUUCUUCAUCCCAAGCAGAAGUGGCAUCUCCACUGGUUACACUUUGAAUUCAUGACUCCAUACUCUUUCCUGCUGCUGGGCAAUCCCACUCCAUCUCUCUGGUGUAAUCAUUCUCUCAUUCUCCUGGAUGACUGCUUCAGUUUUCCCUCUCUCCUCCUGCAAACUCACUCUCAGCUGAUGAAUUUGCUUCCCAUUUCACUGUAAAAGCAAAAGCAACCUUCCACCAACUCUCACUAUGACACCUACCCAUCUACCUGUGUCUACCCUCUGCCUUCCCUCCUGUUAGAGGAUGAACAGCCAAUGAUCCUAGCAGAGAACCACACCCUUAUUUGUCCGUCAGACAAUUCCCAUUGUCUCUCAUCUACUCAAAGAUGUCUCUCCAGCAUUUCUCUUCUCCCUCUCUGGUCAUCAACUUUCCCUCUCUGCCUCAAACAGCAAACUCUGCUCCCUUCUAAACUUGUCCAGGUAUACAAUAUAACAGAACCCUAUAUUUAUGUAUUUUACUUUCACAUCAUGGUUAUGUCGGACUUUAUUGCCAUUUAUAAAAAUGGAGGCGGGCCUAAUAAGCUUCCUUUGAACUUUUCUAAUUCUUUCAAAUUCUAUUCCUGUAGACUCCUUCAACUUGGCAUGCAAAUCGCUGAAAAUACUCGUGCUGCCAGCAGAGGGCGCCCUCAUUGUGCCCAUGCUCCGUCCAGGAAGUGCAUAGUGGAGUCCAAAGGAGAUUUGGUCUGGGAAACAUUUGCACGGGGUUUCUGGUUAUCAUAUUUCCCCAACAGGCACCUGUUUGACUGGCAUUUCCUGGCUCACACCCAUCUUAGCAUAUUUCUUUGUUGGUUGAUUGGCUUGAAGGAAGGUUUCAGUAAUUCGUUACUUCACAUCAUCAGAGUCUGGCUCUCCCCACCACCCUGCUGCUGGUGUGUAGCUGUAUCAGAGACAUUGCCUGGGAAGACCACGUGGGACCAGCUGUGUCUGAAACUCUGCUGAUUCUCAGAGGUAACCUGAUUCUUCUGCUUGAGUGGCUUCACGAAGCAGCGAACACUUUUCCUGUCCAUUGUUGAACCCCUCAUGCCUAACCCAGUGCCUAGAACACAGGCUCGUCAUAGAUGUGUGGAAUGAAUGGAUGACAGAAAACAACGAAGAGCCAGUUGUCGGUGGAGGAUCCCAAAGGAGCAGUUCCGCCUUCAUGUUGAAGACUUUCUUUGCCCUGCAUGUUGUAACCACAUAAAGCUAGCUGGGAGCCACGUGGCUGCCCUCAUUGUUGCUCCUUGGCAAUGUUCUCUCUGUGCCAGGCAUCAAACAUGAGCCCCUCAGUGGGAUCCCUGCCCUGUGUGCGCCCCAAUACCUGGACACUUCCUGGAUGCUCCAAGAGGAUGGAGAUUUGCCCCUCCCGACUUUCCCAUGAUUAAUGUUUGUCCGUAGCCUUGUCACAACCAACCUUGGGAGUGUUGCUGGGUUCUGGUGGGGGUCCCUCCUGAGAGAGGCCUUUCUAUUCUGUGAGGUGAAUUGAAGGCUGUCAAACCUUUCGCUCAAACUGGUCUCAUCUGCAUCAAGUCGUAAAGAAAUUCCUUGAAAUGUCUGGUAUGUGGGUGGAAUCCUUUUUCAGUUUUGAAGAAUGACAGAUUUUCCCCUAUCAUUAUUUUCCUUUGGCUGUGUCAAUGGGAGUUUGGAAGAGAGACAGGAUGGGAAGUUCAAUGUGAGGAUUUGAAUGCCUGUCACAGAAUAGAAGUCUGUCCUUGUACUUUUCCUAGUCUCUUUAGACAAAGUCCCCUCCACCUUAUAGCCCUAUGUAUGUAU